CCUACGGCGUGCAGCAGUGGGGAAUAUUGGACAAUGGGCGAAAGCCUGAUCCAGCCAUGCCGCGGGUGUGAAGAAGGCCUUCGGGUGGUAAAGCACUUUCAGUGGGGAAGAAAGCCUUGGGGCUAAUACCCUCGAGGAAGGACAUCACCCACAGAAGAAGCACCGGCUAACUCCGUGCCAGCAGCCGCGGUAAUACGGAGGGUGCGAGCGUUAAUCGGAAUUACUGGGCGUAAAGCGCGCGUAGGCGGUCUGAUAAGCCGGUUGUGAAAGCCCCGGGCUCAACCUGGGAACGGCAUCCGGAACUGUCAGGCUAGAGUGCAGGAGAGGAAGGUAGAAUUCCCGGUGUAGCGGUGAAAUGCGUAGAGAUCGGGAGGAAUACCAGUGGCGAAGGCGGCCUUCUGGACUGACACUGACGCUGAGGUGCGAAAGCGUGGGUAGCAAACAGGAUUAGAUACCCUAGUAGUC
rnacentral:rRNA from 1 species